rnacentral:rRNA from 1 species
GGGCCGGGGGCAUGGGACGCAAGGGGGUGGUGGGAGUGGCAGACGAGGCGGUGGAAUAGGUUCCUCCGCCGGAGGAGGCUGCGGCGAGAGUCAGGCGGCCUGCGUGACCAGAGGAGCAGCCUCCCACUUUAUAGGAACCAAGUCCAACAAGUCGAUCCGCGUACCAGAUCGUUCGUUAGGGAACUCCCGAUGAGCUAGAGGUGAAUGGGGCUCCCGCAGUUCACGUGGCGACCCUGAACAGAGAAGUAACCCUAAGUUGUCCCCCGCAUUCCUUUUACAUUUUGAAAAAUAGUUACAACUAUCUAUGUGUUUUAUAUUACGAGGGAGGUAAUGUGUCGCUACAAGGUCUUAUAGUGGUGAACGUAGACGUAGGAAACCACUGUACCGCCUGAGAAGUUGAGGGUAAAAAGGAUCUUAGGUACACUUCCUAGGCAUAGUUGCUGAACCUUAGUCGUUCCUUCGUAGACUUCUUCUUUAAGCUCGACGGUCCUUGAAAGAGUAUUCGUUCAUACGUCUCGUAUUCGGUUCACAACUACGUUAACUCAGACGCGUACUGUUUUAGUAGUACGUCUCAAAGAAACUAUCUUUUUUUGGCUUUCACCUAGAGUUCUUUUUUAAAUCCCUUGAAUCAGUCAGUGCAGGUCAGUUCCGACAAGUCCCGUCUAAAAUGUGCGGUAGAUUGUUUAAAUAAACCUUCUGUCGCUAAUGAAAACAGAACGAACCUCAGGAAUGGGAACAAAAGGGAUGACUUCUUCCAGGUUGAGAGGUCCAGAAUUAGAGAACACGCCGUUUAUAGAUAAAGGAAAUAGUCGCCGAAUUUUCACCUACCUUUAGUAAGAAAAUACCCAAGCCGAGGAAGAAACGAAGGACCAAAGAACGGUGUAAGAACUACCAUAGUCAUUAAGGCGGAUAUAACGGACCAGGUUCUUUGAACCUUCACUCGUGCCGCACACAACGAAUGCGAAAGGAAAAACAUAGUAGUUGGAAGGACUUCAUCCUUUACAAACCAAAAAGUUAAAGGGUACGAUUUCGGGAAUCGGAACGUCGUCAGUUAUACCAGCCAGAGCCAAGGGAGGACGAAGGUUAUCAAACAUGUCGCGAAACCGACAGAAAAUAAAGAGUCCCCACCUUUAAAAUCAAGAAACGACUCAAAGACAGAUCAUAUAUGUAGUCCAACAUUACAAACUGUAUCUAGAAAAAACGGGACCGGGAACCUUGUCAAACUAUGGUGGAGUACAUCAGUAAAAGUAACGACAUAAUUUAUAAACCUAUCUAGUAUUCUAUGACUGUAUUUACCGAUAACACCUAGCUU